rnacentral:rRNA from 1 species
CCUACGGGUGGCAGCAGUGAGGAAUAUUGGUCAAUGGACGAGAGUCUGAACCAGCCAAGUAGCGUGAAGGAUGACUGCCCUAUGGGUUGUAAACUUCUUUUAUAUGGGAAUAAAAUGUUCCACGUGUGGGAUUUUGUAUGUACCAUAUGAAUAAGGAUCGGCUAACUCCGUGCCAGCAGCCGCGGUAAUACGGAGGAUCCGAGCGUUAUCCGGAUUUAUUGGGUUUAAAGGGAGCGUAGGUGGAUUGUUAAGUCAGUUGUGAAAGUUUGCGGCUCAACCGUAAAAUUGCCGUUGAAAAUGGCAGUCUUGAGUACAGUAGAGGUGGGCGGAAUUCGUGGUGUAGCGGUGAAAUGCUUAGAUAUCACGAAGAACUCCGAUUGCGAAGGCAGUUCACUGGACUGCAACUGACACUGAGGCUCGAAAGUGUGGGUAUCAAACAGGAUUAGAUACCCCUGUAGUC